CUGACCGCGAAACCCUCGUUUUCCCCAACCCCUUUCUCUUUCGCUCACCUCAUGCUCGCCGUCGCCUCUCCCUCCGAUUCGUUUCCGACGCCCAUAAUCCUUCUCAAAUCUCGUAGAUCCGAAGUGAUGUCUUGAUUCACCGUUUCCUUCCGUCCAUUUCGACUCUUUGUCUUCAUUAACCUCAAGCUUCAAGCCUCGGCAGUAGAAAUCCUCAAACCUUUCCCCUAAUCGAUCAGAGGGCGCUUGUGGGUCUCAAUCGGGAAGUUUCUGGCCAAUGUGGGUCUCCGAGAGUUCGUGAUCUCCUCCUCCAUUUCCGACGUCUCUUAAACCCUCUUCUUCUGCUCUCCAAAAGCCCUCGAUAAUGGGCUACUCGAGCUUCAACUGGUGUUCCUUAGAUCGAAGGUCUCUGUUUCGCCGGCGUUUAUGUCCGACGACAUUAAACUGUUCGUCUUCCACUCCAUUUCGUGGUUCCUGUCUUUGAGCGAGAAGAGCGAUUGAGAGCUCUCAGAGCUGCUCAGGAAUUAUUAAACGCUUCAGAUGAUGUUACUACUGAAGAUCGGAAGAAACUAGCAUUAUAUUUGGAUGGAAGAGGAGACUACAAAAACAUCAAAUUCUACAAUGGCUUCAUAGCUAUUUCUAUUACGUUUUCAAAUUCUGCUGGAGCUGGACCUAAACACGGCCAAUCAGUUGCUCUUCUGAACAGUGGUAGUGUGAAUCUUCUACGAUUGAGUGUUUCUUGGCUAUCAAGACACACUUUAUAUAAAUAGAAAGAGGUUGUUUUUCAAAUAUGGUGAAAUCUACCUUAUAGUAGAUUUCAUAUUUGGAAACGCUCUUGCUGUUUUUCAGGAUUGUAGAAUUUACGCCCGACUACUAAAUAACACUGUUAGAGUGACUGCACAGUCGGAAGAAAGCAUACAACAAUUGAGUGGCUUUUCGUUUCAGAAUUGCACUGUAAUUUUUAUGAUGGAAUCAUUUCUAAACUCAGUGGUGAAUCCUGCCGGAUGGUCAGAAGGGUCUAAUAGUAGUUCUCUGAAAUUAUUAUUUUAUAGUGAAUAUGGCAACAGAAGGCGGGGCUAACUUAUUCUCAAAUGGCCAGGAUUCCAUGCAAUAGAGAAUCGAAAAAAAGCCAUUCAAUUCACUGUACGACAAUUUAUUAAUGGGACUACAUGGUCGCUAGAAACUGGUGUACCAUAUAGACCAGAUUUGUAAUAUAGAUAUGUGCGACAUGACAUGUAAUAAAAGUUAUAUAGACCAGAUUUAUAAUAUAGAUAUGUGCGACAUGACAUGUAAUAAAAGUUACAUUGACGUCAUAAACUUGUGUACGAUAUAGAUCAUAUUUGUAAUAUUGAUAUGUUCGACCUGACAUGCAAUAAAAUAAAAGUUAUUUAGUUAUAGUUUCA